CGCGGCCUAUCAGCUUGUUGGUGAGGUAACGGCUCACCAAGGCAACGAUGGGUAGCCGGUCUGAGAGGAUGUUCGGCCACAUUGGGACUGAGACACUGCCCAGACGCUUACGGGCGGCUGCAGUCGAGAAUAUUUGGCAAUGGGGGCAACCCUGACCAUGCGACGCCGCGUGGAGGAUGAAGGCUUUCGAGUUGUAAACUCCUGUGGCAGGGGAAGAAACCUGGGACUUCGGUUUCAGCUGACGGUACCCUGCUAGAAAGCGCCAGCUAACUACGUGCCAGCAGCUGCGGUAAGACGUAGGGCGCAAGCGUUGCUCGGAUUUACUGGGCGUAAAGGGCGUCUAGGCGGCCCUUCAAGUCGCGCGUGAAAUUUCUACGGCUUAACCGAGAAACGGCGCGCGAUACUGUUGGGCUUGAAUGCGGUAGAGGAAAGUGGAAUUCAAGGUGGAGCGGUGGAAUGCUCAGAGAUCUUGGAGAACACCAAUGGCGAAGGCAGCUUUCUGGGCCAGCAUUGACGCUGAAGCGCGAAAGAUUGGGUAGCAAACAGGAUUAGAUACCCUGGUAGUCCUUUCUGUAAACGAUGGGUGUUAAGUGUGGGGAACAUCGGAUUCCCUGUGCUGCCGCUAACGCAUUAAACACCCCGCCUGGGGA
rnacentral:rRNA from 1 species